rnacentral:rRNA from 1 species
GACGAACGCUGGCGGCGCGCUUAACACAUGCAAGUCGAACGGAAAGGCCUGCUUUCCCUUGUGGAUUGCGGGUACUCGAGUGGCGAACGGGUGAGUAACACGUGAGUGAUCUGCCCCCAACUUGGGUAUAAGCCUGGGAAACUGGGUCUAAUUCCCGAUAGGACUGCAGGGUGGUGCCUGUGGUGGAAAACGAUUUUCUAGUGGUUGGGGAUGAGCUCGCGGCCUAUCAGCUUGUUGGUGGGGUAAUGGCCUACCAAGGCGGCGACGGGUAGCCGGCCUGGGAGGGGGGACGGCCACAUUGGGACUGGGAUACGGCCCAGACCCCUCGGGGGGGCAGCAGGGGGGAAGAUGGCACAAGGGGGGGAAGCCGGAUGCAGCGCCGCCGGGUGGGGGAGGACGGCCUUGGGGUUGGAAACUCCUUUCGACCGCGAGGAAGCCACCUGGUUGGAAGGGGGGUGACGGUGGUGGUAGAAGAAGCACCGGCUAACUACGG